AUUGAACGCUGGCGGCAUGCUUUACACAUGCAAGUCGAACGGUAACAGGCCGCAAGGUGCUGACGAGUGGCGAACGGGUGAGUAGUGCAUCGGAACGUGCCCAGUCGUGGGGGAUAACGCAGCGAAAGCUGUGCUAAUACCGCAUACGAUCUAUGGAUGAAAGCGGGGGACCGUAAGGCCUCGCGCGAUUGGACCGGCCGAUGUCAGAUUAGGUAGUUGGUGGGGUAAAGGCUCACCAAGCCAACGAUCUGUAGCUGGUCUGAGAGGACGACCAGCCACACUGGGACUGAGACACGGCCCAGACUCCUACGGGAGGCAGCAGUGGGGAAUUUUGGACAAUGGGCGCAAGCCUGAUCCAGCAAUGCCGCGUGCAGGAAGAAGGCCUUCGGGUUGUAAACUGCUUUUGUACGGAACGAAAAGGUUUGGGUUAAUACCCUGGGCCGAUGACGGUACCGUAAGAAUAAGCACCGGCUAACUACGUGCCAGCAGCCGCCGUAA
rnacentral:rRNA from 1 species